rnacentral:tRNA from 1 species
GCAUCGAUAGUUUAGGGGUAGAAUUGAAGCUUCCCAUCGUUCUCUGACGAGUCUGCUUCAGGCACGGGUUCGAGUCCCGUUCGAUGCA